rnacentral:ncRNA from 1 species
CUCAUGGAGAGUUUUAUCUUGGCUCAAGAUGAAUGCUAGUGGCAUUCUUAACACAUGCAAGUCGGACGGGAAGUGGUGUUUCCGGCGGAUGGGUGAGUAACGCGUAAGAACCUGCCCUUGGGAGGGGAACAACAGUUGGAAAUGACUGCUAAUACCCCAUAGGUUGAGGAUAAAAAGGAGGAAUUUUCCCAAGGAGGGGCUCACAUCUGAUUAUUUAGUUGGUGAGGCAAUGGCUUACUGUAAGAUACCAGAUAUAAUAAAUAUGCAUAAUAGAAAUAAAAUACUAGAAAUGGUAGAAUGACAGUAAUAUAUCCAACAUAAUCUCCACAAUAACACAUAAAUGAUAUAAGAACAACAAUAGAAAUAACACUUUGAUUCAGAAAGCAAUGUUCACAGGCCUCUUCGAGGGGGAAACCUCCAAUUGAGUAGCGCUCUGUUACAAUAAUAUCCAAGCUAGGGUUUUCAUACCCUCAACCCUUAUUUAUACUAAAUAUGUAUAUCAAGAGAAGCAUCUAGAGGAAAAUCCUUCUAGAAGUGGAAGCUUCUAUUAGGUCUUCUUACAUCCACCUUAUUCUAUUUUAUUGAAAGGCCUUAGUAAUAUUGACCUUUAUUACAUCCGAAUAUAUUGAUCUACCUAUGUGUGGGUUAGGACCCUAACAUGUCCACCCCCUUAAAAACAACCUUGUCCUCAAGGCUUGAGAUG